GGCUCACCACCCCAGACACCCCUGGGAACCAUGGUCCCAAAGCUGUACUCACGAUGUGGUUUCCAGAACGCAGGACUUCUCAGAGGGAGGUCAUUGUGUGCGAGAGCCAUCCGGCCCGUGGCUCCUCUCCCAGCCACAUUUCUCCUGCAUCCUGGGGUUGAAACAGAAGGCCAUUCGCCAGCUUUUGGUCCUGCCUGGUGA
rnacentral:lncRNA from 1 species